AAGUCGUAACAAGGUUUCCGUAGGUGAACCUGCGGAAGGAUCAUUAACGAAUAACUAUGGUGUCUUGGUUGUAGCUGGCUCCUCGGAGCAAUGUGCACGCCCGCCAUUAUUAUCUUUCCACCUGUGCACCGACUGUAGGUCUGGAUGACUCUCGUACUCCGGUGCGGAUGCGAGGAUUGCUCUCGGGCUCUCCUCGAAUUUCCAGACUCUACGUCUUUUUACACACCCCAAACGUAUGAUACAGAAUGUAGUCAAUGGGCUUGAUCGCCUAUAAAACACUAUACAACUUUCAGCAACGGAUCUCUUGGCUCUC
rnacentral:misc_RNA from 1 species